rnacentral:lncRNA from 1 species
UUCCUUUCCUCCCGUGCGGCCUUUCCUUUGCUUUUUCUGUUUGAGAGGGGAAGUCGUGUCAGGUAGUUUCCCUUUCUGUUUGAGAGGGGAAGUCUGUGUCAGGUAGUUUCCUUUCUGUUUGAGAGGGGAAGUCUGUGUCAGGUAGUUUCCUUUCUGUUUGAGAGGGGAAGUCGUGUCAGGUAGUUUCCCUUUCUGUUUGAGAGGGGAAGUCUGUGCAGGUAGUUUCCUUUCUGUUUGAGA